AAAAAAUCACAUUAGAGAAAAUGGCCAUAAAAGUAAAAAAGGAGAAUAUGGAUCAAAUGAGAAACGGCGAUUCUUCCCUUGUUUAACAUUUUGACUCAUAUCUCCCUCUUUGUCUCUGUGCGAUUGAUUCAUCAACAGUUAAAAAAAUCAUCUUUAGUUCUGAUUAUUGCAGAGCGAGAGAGAGGAACAAGAAGAGUAACGGGCUCUCCAAGAGUGGUCCGAAUCGCUUUCACUGAUCCUCGCUGCGGAGAUAAGGGAUUCCGUACUCGAUUUGGUUAGGGACUUUGAGGAAGCUGCUGUUGCUUGCGAUCCGUCUCAGAGGCUGACUAAUUUUCUGACUCCUUCGCCGGUUAUCGGAUGCGAUUCGGGGAGCCAGAGCCUCUGUUCUCCGACGUAUGUUCUUCGAUUCAACGGAACCGAUCGAUCUUGCGGCGGAGGUGAAGCCGAACGUGGCAGAGAGUUUGCUCCCAGAUCCGUAUUCGUUGCCGGAGCUGUCUCUCGCCGGGCCGGCGUGUAUUUCUGAGUUUCCUCCGGAGCCGUUGUUUAUGGAUGAGAUCGAAAUCCAUAAACCGUUUCCGAACCGGCAAGCAUUGAACCUGCGUUUACAAGCUUGGUGGGCCUCCGUAGGAUACUAAGGGUGUUGAAGCGUGACACACAUUGCACGAUAUGAAUUAGUUAUAGCACUAGCAAAGGGUGAAACAUCGAAUGAAAAAUCCAUUUGUGGCAGAAAACUAGAAGAAGGAAACACAGACUUUUUCAGGCUUAUUACGUAAGGUUGAAGCUGCAGAAGCAAAUAGUUUGUUUUAAUCAUUUGCUUGAUCACCAGUACCAUCUCAUGAACUAUCCUCCAAAGAUUCCUCUCGCACCUAUGCCAAACGGAAUACAUCAUCCCAUGCCACCUGUUGGUAUGCAAAUUGGAUAUCCAGUACUACAACAUCCUCAAAUGCAUGUUCAAGGCCACCAUACCCAUAUUGCUGCUGCAACGGCUAUGUCAAGCUGCCAUGUUGUUGUUAACGGAGUCCCUGCACCUCCCCAUCUCCAGCCAUUCAUUGAGGAUGAACUCAACCAAUGAGUAAGAACCAACAACUAGAUCAUUUAUACAGUUGAUGUCUUUACUUUAAAAAACAAUCUCUCUUUGUUAAUCUUUGUAUGGUGGCAACCGUGGAAGAUGCAACUCCUCCUCAUGUGGUUCCACCAAGCAGUGGCGAGAUGGCAGUGAGUCCUGCUUCUGUGGCAUCAAGUGGACACUUUCCAUUUGUUGAUUCAGAGUUCAGACAUACAUGGUAAUGGACGUUUCAGUGCUUGAUUCUGAGUUCACGGCUGAUGGAGGAGCUGGGAGUUCUAGAAAUGCGUCUUUUCAUCCGAUUCCAUGGAAUUUUAGCCUUUCUGAUCUCAAUUACAUAGGAGCCUUGGGGAAACUAUCCAGGCCAUCUGAUUCAGACAUAGGAUUCCGUCGCUGGACCUCCUUGUUCUAAUUUAGAUGAAGAGAAGCCUUGAGUUGAAACGGGAACGGCCAUAUAUAACAACCAUCUUCUUCAGAGACAACAGCAAGCAUUGUUUUUACUGUUGUUUUUUAAUAUCAAAGUAGAGGGUUUAAAAUGAACAAAGCAGUUGUUACUUCGGUAUUGUCUUCUUGUAAUAAUCCUGUCAUUACAUUCUACAAGGGCAAAUAAAUAGAGUAUACUUCAGUGA